GGCCCGUGCCUGAUGCCACGCAUUCUGUAUAUCGUAUCUGUCCUCGUGGACGGCAGGGACAUUUGUCAUGUGAAGCGCCGUGCAGGUGGCGUCCUGCUACAUGCCUGUUUGAUUGGAACAUGUCAAUCACAAGCUUCUAAAAAACAAUAUAUCGCCUAUCAGAGAUAACUCUAAAUGGACGUAAUAUUAUUCAAAUUAUUAUUAUUAUUAUUUUG
rnacentral:lncRNA from 1 species